AAAUUUAAUGAGGGAGAGGUCACACGCCCUCCUCUUUUUUAUAGAUCCAAAAAGUUUCAAAUUUUACAAAAAUCCCCGUCUUGUGAGCUUUAACGAAAAUAGCCCUAGUCUAAAUAAAAUCAACUAAAACAUCCAUAAUGUGUCCAAAUAUAAAAUAAUCAAAAACUAAAUCCUAAAAUAUGAUAAAGUCUAAAACUGAUGUGGACGAUCAAUGAUCAAUGACCCGAUCAUGUGAUCCAUGUGAUCCAAUGGCCCGAUCGUCACGUCCCUCCGAUCCAACGGUCUGGAUCACUCCUUAAAGCAGCUCAUGUGCAUCUUCCCAGUAUGGGGUCUUCCAGAUGCUCGCACAUGCACAUGGGGUCUUCAGCACGAUCACGGGUACUCACCUAGCCAUAGGGAAAGUGGUGCGGCCCGCCUCCUCCUCUGAUACGUACGUAAGGGUGUAUGUGACGUGAUGUCCUCAUCAGAUCUAUUUGCUUUGAGAGAGCUGUGAACAACAAAAUAUUUCUCCAAUAAAGAGAGUAUCAAACUAAUAGUGAAAAGGAAGGACAAGAAGAAAAGUAUGGAGGAAAAGGAGAAGGAGAAAGAAAAGUGUCAACUGAAUAGCAGGUAGUAGUUGGUAUACAAACUUCUCUAGGAUAAGUACCACUUGAACAAUGGAUAAUAGUUCUAGAGGAAAUAAAAUGGCACCUUGUUGGAAAACAGCCCCGAUAUCUUUCAGGAUAACCCCCUUGACGUAUUUAGUUACCUAAACCAAGUCGAAAACUGCCCUUGUAGGAAGAAAGACUCUUGCUUGACAUUCAACCUAUGGAAUUGUUAAAGAAUGGAACAAAUCUCAUCCUAUUUUGGCCCUCCCGUAUCCAGCAAGUCAUGCAGGAGCCCCUUAUGGGCUGUUGACAUUUUCAAAACUCUCUCAAAACUAAUUAUCAAGCUUCGAAGGCUCCUAAGCUGGCUAAUAAGCACUCUCAUAUUUGAUGCCGACUCCAAUCUAUUCAUCAAGAGCUUAGCAGCUUUAAGAACCUGCUA